rnacentral:lncRNA from 1 species
UUUUUUUAAUUAAAAUCUAAUUUAAGAUACAUAAAUGAUAAGAAUUUCAAAGCACACACGGUUUUAUUUACUAAGUCAGCCCAAAUUCUAGAUUAGUAUGCAAUCUAAGUUAAAGUCAUUAAGUUUCCGUUUAGGGAGUUGUAAGACUUAUUUAUACUGGAGUGCUCGGUGAAAUCUGGACCGUACACAAGCUAAGGGUUCGAAUCUCUAAAAUAUUGUUAAUACUAGUAGUUUCCAAGGAUUGGUCGAAAAGACCUACUCACUGAUUCAAAAUCAUCUUAUC